AUGGGGGCAAAGGAGGAGUUCCCAGGAGAUCACACACAGAUUCAAGGAAACCCAGAGUCGAGGGGGCUCCAGGCAGGAGUGGUGACCAGAGAACACAGCGCCACCUGUCCUAAGAUGAAUGCCCCAAGCUCGACUCUGAACACCAGCCAAGGAAAGUCCAUGAUUCACCCCGCAACGUUGCCCUUUGCACUUGGAGAGGUGUCCCAGAAACAGCUGACCACCAGAGAACACCCCACAGUCCCUGAACCUCUUCAACCAGGGCUGGUGUUUGCAGCUCUGCUUCUCAACACCUCUGCUCGAAGGACGUGGUUCCUCUUCUUCAGUUACUGCUGUUUCCUGUUCCCUGAGCACACUUUGGGUCCCAUUAGAUGGUGUCAGGAAAAAAAUGGAGUUCAAGAUUAUCAAGUCGACUCCCACUCGGCCGCCACAAUCCCACUGCUGCCGCCACCCCAAUCCCCUCGCUGCCGCCACCACCAUGGAUGCCAUCAAGAUGCCCAGGAGAAGCUGGAGCUGGUGGAGAAAAAGGUCACCAACGCUGAAUCUGAUGUAGCUUCCCUGAACAGAUGCAUCCAGCUGGUUGAGGAAGAGUUGGAUCGUGCCCAGGAGCGUCUGGCUACAGCUCUGCAGAAGCUGGAGGAGGCCGAGAAGGCCACAGAUGAGAGUGAGAGAGGCAUGAAAGUCAUUGAAAGCCGAGCCCAAAAGGAUGAAGAAAAAAUAGAAAUUCAGGAGAUCCAGCUGAAAGCAGCCAAGCACAUUGCUGAAGAUGCCAAUCUUAAGUAUGAAGAGGUGGCCUGGAAACUGGUCAUCAUUGAGGUGACCUGGAGCGUGCAGAGGAGCUGGCUGAGCUCUCAGAAGGCCAAGUUUGAUAGCUGGAAGAACAAUUAAGAAUAAUGGAUCAGACCUUGAAGGCAUUAAUGGCUGCCAAGGAUAAGUACUUGCAGAAGGAGGACAAGUAGGAGGAGGGGAUCAAGGUCCUCUCUGACAAGUAGAAGGAGGCUGAGACUCGGACUGAGUUUGCUGAGAGGUCAGUAACUAAAUUGGAGAAAAGCAUUGAUGACUUAGAAGAGGAAGUGGCUCAUGCCAAAGAAGAAAACCUUAGCAUGCACCAGAUGCUGGAUCAGACUUUACUGGAGUCAAACAACAUGUGAACACCUCCUUAGCAGUGGCCACAUUCGCUCAUUUUGUUCUUGUUGUUUUGUUUUUAAACACCUGCUUACCCCAUAAAUGCAUUUUUAUUUACUUUUACCACUGUCACAGAAACACUCACAAAAUACCAGCUGGGGUGGGGGUAGGGAAAACACACGCAAAAAGGCAAGCCUGUGUCUGGGCGAUAAUGGUUUAAAUGUGCCAUUUCCCAGGUUGACAUGGCCACACAUUGUAUAGAGUUUAGCAACACUGUCUGCUUAGUCCGUGUAGGAAUCCUCACUAAAGCAGAAAGAUUUCCACUCAGAGUGCCAAUAGUAGAGUCAACAGGAAGAUGAACAUUGGAAACACAGUCAGGUGUGGAUUGGUGCUACUUCAAACAAAAGAUCCCCUGUGUUCUUUGUUCCAUAAUAUACAAUUUAGAACUCUGUCCAACACUAAUUUAUUUUGUCUUGAGUUUUCCUACGAGAUGAGACUGUGGAUUCCACAUUUCAGAAUUCACUCAAGCCAAGGGUCUGUAAGCCACGCUGCUCUUGUAAGACUUCAUUCCUUCCCGACUGGCACACUCGCGGCUCGUGACAGCUCUGUAGGAUGGCAUUCCAUGUGGGCUCCCACUCUUUCAGUUCUCCAUGUUAAGGUGAAAGGUUUAGGCACUACGUAUGACUGGGAAGGAAAGAACAUUUUCUUAAGAGUUAUGCCUAUGUGUAAACAUUGUAUAAUGAUAUGGAAUAAAAUGCACAUUAU